AAUGCACCUUGCACCUCUUGGUAUUCUGAGAGGUACACCUGUUUGAGUAUCAUUAAUUCUAUCCACUCUUUCUUUAUUACUUUGAAAGAGUUGGGACUUGGGAGGUUACUUGCAGAGUUUUGUAUAUCUGCUCUCCUUGAAUGUAUUAGCAGGGAUUUUAUUAGUCCUUGGGUUGAUGUUGAUAAUAAAAUGUCUCUUCAAACCCUUGGGUCUAAGUUCCAUCUGCUUCAAACUGUCUUAUUAGUAGAGACAAAAUGUAAAAGCUGCAUGAUCUCAAAUCAGGUGGGACUACCCGCUGAACUUAA
rnacentral:misc_RNA from 1 species